UUUUCUUUUUCCUUUUCGCUGACACAUCUUCCGUUGGCAUCAACAGCACUGUGGAAGCAACCGGUGAUAUCUUAAGUCGGCAUAGAUAGCUCUGUCACCGUAGAGUCAGUCGGUCUCGCAGUAUCUUCCGUUGGCAUCAACAGCACUGCGGCGAGAACGGUUGAUUGCCUAUCCCAGUCUCGGUCGAGAAGGGUUCUAAAUCCUUAUUGGUCGAGGUCAUCUCAUCAGCUUUCUCGGCGAAGUGAGGUGUUACAGUUAUUACAUUCGGCACAUUGAAAGCCGAAUUUGAUAUUGAACUUCGUAAGAAUAGUAACCUUGUCUUCAGGUUCGAGAGCCCAAGAGGCCGAGACAUGUUCCUUUCUCGGCCGCAAUCGCAAGACGCAGAAGUCAGUAGCGCGACCCAACGCAACAUCAACAAAUUUACUCCUCGGCCGAGCUCGGCGGACGAGUUGGCACGCCCCGCAUUCACCGAAUGACGUAGUUAGCUCAGUAAUUACUCGGCCUGCGCGCCACGUAGGCUUUGUAGUUUCUAGGGUCAACAGAACCAUAUAUGAAAAGGAAAUCAAUAUCCAACCAGAAUCGUUGAUAGUUUACUAUAUCAAGAAAGAAAAUUAAUAUAAAAACCAUAUAUGAAAAGAAAAUCAAUAUCGAAAAUCAAAAUCAUUGAUAAUUUACUGUAUCAAAAAAGAAAAUCAAUAUUAAGAAUCAUACAUGAAAAUAAAUCAAUAUCGAAAACCAAAAUCGUCGAUAAUUUACUAUAUCAAGAAAGAAAAUUGAUAUAUAUCAAGAAAGAGAAUCAUAUAUGGAAAAAAUCAAUAUUGAAAACCAAAAACGUUGAUAAUUUUCCUUUAACUUUCUUUUAAUUGAGCCACAAGUAACUCAACAAAAAGUUCUGCUGAUCUCUAAUUAAUCCCUUUAUGUCAUAAACUGAUUAAUUAAUCAAGAUAUCGCUAUCAAAACAAAAGUUCAUAAUUCCUUUCCAAAGAUUUUCAUUUCACCAGUUUAUGAUAGAAACUUAAUAGUUAGAAGAGCCGGCUAAUUAGAACCAGUGAGUAUGUAUUCAGUUUUAAUAAUCCAAAUGACAAUUAAAGUAAACACGAAAACGAUAAUAAAUUUUAUGUUGUACUGAAACAUUGACGCGUUAUAUCCCUAAUAUCAGGUGUUAUAAUAAAUUUUACAUCCAUUAACUCAUAUUACAACACAUAAAUUGGUUCUACAGAACCUAAUUACUCUAAUUAGGGCAAAUUCUUAGAGUGGUGCACUAAAGACUGACUGACAAAGUCAAAGCGACGGGCAGGGUCGAAGUACCAGUCAAGCUGCGGUAUGUACGUGUUGAACGGGUGUAAAAACACCAGGUCCGUUGAGCCACUCAGGCAUCGUACAUUUGUGAUUGCUUGAUGCUCUCCGACUCGGCCUCGCACGAAACGAUUCGUUGGCACUACCUCCACGGAGGCGUAUUGGAAGAAACAAAGGGAUCGGUUGGGGUUAGGUACGGUUGGGACCCACAACAGUUGCGUAGCGAGAGAUUUUUAAGUGUAAUCCGCAUACAUGAUGGUAUACCACGUGUCGUUAUAUAAAUGGUAUGAUAUUAGUGUUAAAAAGUUAAUAAUUUAAAAAAAUAUUUUACAUUAAGAGAAGGGAGGAUUCGGCUAAGCUACACAAUGGACAACCUAAUGUGGUAUCGAAUUUACCAUCUACGAAAUUCGAACCUAAAACCUCACUUACAAGUGAAAAGAAAUAGUACCAGACCAUAAUACUAAGUAGCAUUAAAUUAUUAGGUUAACUUCGAUAAUUAUAUGAUUAACGGAAAAUGAUAACAUGUUUAAGACGAUCUUUGUAGAAUUAUUUGUAGUUAUAUGCGUAUACAUGUCUAGUAUGUGUUCUUUAUACAGCCAAGCUUAACUGGUAGUUUGUAAAUACAUAACAUUUGCGUAGCCCUAAGAUUUUGGGGCUCGGUGCGAGACUCAAACAGAAAACCUUCUAAGGUCCAAACUUUUAGUUGUUAUAUUUUUUUUUAUUGUGUGUAGAUUAAUACAAUGGCAAAGAAAUAAAUAAAAGGCCAAAAAAAUUUCGUGAUCCUUAUGGUGAUACCCUACUUUUAAAUAGACCCCUGUGGUGAAAACACUAUUAAUUGUAGGGAUGUGAUAUUCACAUACGCCUUUUUACUUCUCUCACACUCUUUUAAUUUUCGGUCGUUGGAUUGGAUGAAUUGAAGGAGAUCAAAUGAUAGAAAUUAACAAGGGAUGUGGGGGAAGUAAAAAGGGGAGUGUGGAUAGCACACCCCUUAAUUGUAAUCUUGUGGUGAAAUUUGUUAUCAAUCAUAGUCCAAAUUGGAUUUUUCCUCAUUCUUCUGUCAUUUGUAGGGGCAAAAUUGUUAUAUUCGUUUUUAUUGAUUCCAUCAAUCAAUCAUAAAGCGCCAUAUGGACAUAAAAAUUUUUAUUUUUAAAAAUGUGGGAGCUACAAUAAAAGAAUAAAUAAACAAUAAAAUUACAAGAUUCAUAUUAUCAGACUUUCUCAUUUCAAGAGAGCCAAGAGUCCAAAUUCAAGAUUUAAAAAAUCACAAAGUACCUCGCUGCGUUUAGGUUAGAAUAUAAGUUCUUAUGCAAACAUUGAAUUUAGUUUCAUUUUAAGAAGAAUAGUGGUGGAUGGGAUGGCUAGGGUUAUGUGAGAGAGAGAAGGGGGAAAGUGAUGGGUGAUCGUUGUGGCUGUGGCUGACAAGGGUAGGGAUUGGGGAGGGAUUUUUUUUUCUUCUAUUUUUGUUGAUUAUAAAAAAAUGGAAUUACCAAAAAGAAAAUAAAAAAGAAUGGAAUGACCUUUUUACCCCUGCAUGUGGAUGAGAUUUUGACAAAAAAAUCAAUUUGGACUACGAUUGAUAAUGAACUUCACCACAGGGUUAAGAUUAACACUUUUUUUCAGCAUAGGGGUCGAUUUAAAAGCACUGUUCUAAAAAUCCCCGCCUAGCUCCGCCUAGGCCCUGCCUAGGCACUAGGCCUCAGCCCACCGCCCCGAUUAAUGCCUAGGCCCCAGCCCACCGCCCUGAUUAAUGCCUAGGCCCCAGCCCACCGCCUAGACCACCUAGGCACCCGCCUAGCCCGCCUAGGCACCCGCCUAGGUUGCAACUCACUUAGACAGAAAAUACAUAACUUUCAUUUUGCAUUUUGUUUUUUUCCAAUAAAUUGUAAGAGACUUGUUGCAUACUUGAAUGAACAAACAUUAUAUCCUUAUUUCACAUGUUUUCAUUAUGUUCCAAUACUUCAUGAUAUAUAUGCAUUGUAUUUUGUAGUUUAUGAUGAAAUUAUAUAUAUUUCAAGUAGAAGCAGACACUUAUUUACAUAAAAUAUGAUAGAUUUACUUAAAUCCGCCUAGUCCGCCUAGGCGUCCGCCUAGCCGCCUAGGCCCUAGGCCCCAACCCACUGCCCGACUAGUGCCUAGCGAUUUUUAGAACCUUGUUUAAAAGUAAUGUCUUACCACAGGGAUCAUGAAAAAAAUUUAGCCUAAAUAAAAAUAGCAUGGCGUGGUCUAGGUACCUACAUGCAUUUCCUAUGUUUUUGGGUUCAAUACGCCUUGCUUUUUUUUUUUUUUUGAACAAACGAUAUUAUUAACAUUAAGGAAGAAGGAUGGGUUUAGCCUCACAAUGGGCUUGCAAUAAUGUGGUUCAAAUUUGUUUUUGACGAAAAUCGAACUUAAAUCCUCUCACUUACAAGUAAAAAAGAAUACUAUUAAACUGUAGUACUAAGUGGCCGAAACGUCUUGCUUUUAAAUACAAUUUUUUUUAAAGUAAAUAUAAAAGGAUGUGCCCUAGGAGGUACUUGAACCCAAUUGAAGUUACAAAGAUUAAAAGAAAAACUAAUGAAAAUAGUUUAAAAACUUUGAGUUUUAACUAUAAGGACAAAAUAAAGGAUAAAGUGAAUAGUACCAUGAUUAACUUUUUAGUGUAAAAAUAUGAUUUUUCCGUUAAAGUGAACAGUACCAUAAGUUUUUCGUUAAAUUCCCAAUAUAAAAAGCAUGAAAACACUUACACUAAGAACUUAAUUUGAUUAAUUGAUGCUCCUUUAGGCAUAUACUUUAUAAAGACGUAAAAUAAUAUAAUAAAUUGGGAGCCUUCCGAAUAAGGAGCUUUUCGCGGUGGCACAACCUCAGAGCCGACUCACUUGCGUAUAGCAUAUAGCAUAUUCAUAUGCGUGUUGCAUGUUGAUGUCAAGUACUAUUAUUUUGCGUUAUCAUAAUAUUGAUGCCAAUCAUUUGAAAUUACAUGUAACAGUGGUUAAUUAUCUCAAAAUAAUAGUGAUGAACACCAAUUAAGAUUUAUAGUAAGGGAAUAGGAAACUGCGUGUGAACAUUGAAGUCCUGGUUCAAAGUAGUUUAGAGUCUUUAGACCACUGUUGUUAAUCAGUAUAUAUUGUUUGUUAUUAUUUAGCUGACGUAUAUACAUACAUAUGCCUGAAGUGAUGGUUUAUAAUAAUAUAUAUAUACACACAGAGGAUCAUGAGUAGGCAUAGUCAACGCACGCAUUCACAAUUAACGGUGAGUUUCAGCUGAAGGAAUCGGCAAGACUUGACAAUGCGUCGGUCUAUAUAUUCUGAAGACAAUCAUAUUUGUACAGAUGGAGUGAGAUUUAAAAAAGAAAGGGGGAAGUGGAGUUUCUUUCUUCCAAAUAAAAGUAAAUAAUAAAUAAAUGUUCAAUGCCAAACGUUGUAUAUAUAGGUCUAAUAUGUACGGAAAUAUUGAAUUGAAUAUAUGACGAUAUGAGACUGGUAUUCUCUGCAAAAGUCAAAAAUGAACAUAUUCUGUUGAUGGACUUUGUAUAUAGCGAUAGCGUGUCUGUCUUGCCUUCUUUUUGUUUUGAAUCUGUAAUUUUCUAGUAUCUUCUCUUCUGUAGUGAUGUCUAUGCUACACGAUGCGAUGACUUUUCCCCUCCAGCCAGCCGAUUCCAGAUUGUACGCCGUAAAAUCCACCUGCGUAUGGGCAAAAAUAAAUAUUAAUUUUAGCUGCCAUUCAUGCAGUAGAGAAUUUCACAAAGUACAAACCCUAAAUAUUAAUAACUUGCGUCUUAAGCAGAUGGCAAAGAAAAAUAGAAGAGAUUUUUCGUCGAAGAUGGAAGUGAUUUUCACAAUCCUUAAUCAAAGUAUAGCAAGUUAUACACUCUUACAAUAUUCAAAAUGAGAUUAGCACUAGGCUCAAACGAAUCAUAAAGAUUAGCUCAAAUAUUGUGUUUAAUUAAGAUUUUAAUUUGAGCUCCAGAAGAGAUAGAGGAAUCAAAAACAAAAUAGAAGGAAGAAAUAGUUGUUUCUAUAAAGGGGAGAUCGACAUGACCUGAGCUAUCUGGGAGUGGAGUCGGCUAGGAAACAAAACUAAAACUCACCUAUAGUAUUUACUUUCCUGAACUAAUUAUAGGGAUGAAGACCAAAAAACAAAUGGGGAAAGUAUGUUCCUUUUUAUUGUAAAAUAAAAUAACAAUAAUUACAAGAUCCUUCAAAGACAAUGACUUGCUUCAUCGAUCAAUAAAUUCAAUAAACACUACCGUGGAUAAUCUUGGCACCUAUGUUCAGUAUUUUCUAUGUUUUAUAUGAAGAUCCGUAUCAAGCUGGACAAAUUCAAAAGUAGUUAUGUACCCUGGUCUAGUCUGGUGUGUGUUCUAAUUUCCAAUUACCAAAUAAAGAGCAUGGAAUCGAAUUACAAGAACGACACAAUUUCAUACUAUACAAAAUGCAUGCCCAAACAAAAAUGAAUGUUUUUCCGUUGGGAUCCAUUCCUUGGCAGCGUCAGCUGUCAUUUUUUAUUGGCUAUUAAUUAAAUAGGAAUGUGGUUUUCAAAGCUUUGUUUAACUUGAACCCGAGUUGAACGAGCAACAUGUACCAAGUUCUUUAUCAGCGGCGCCGUCCCUCCUCUCUAAUUUAUAACUUUAGUCGUAUACCGUACUCAGUAUUUGAUGUUGCUUUUGUAUCAAUAUUUAUAUGCAACAAGUCUUUAUUAACGUUCUAUUCACUUUUGCCUCUUGAUUCUUUUUUUAUAUAUUCAAUGUAACGGUUAGAUGUAAAAUAAAAGUAUGUGGGUAGAAAAAAAUGAUGGGUGAAUUAUAUACAUAUAAAAUGAGAAUAUUAAAUGUUGAAUGUGCCACAAGAUCGAGGGGUUUUCACAAUAUUAAUUUUUAGUUUCGUUUUAGAUUGUGAACUCGCUGGGGGACCACUCAACUAAUCUCUCUCUGGUUGGUCAGAUUAUUGAGGACAUCAAAGCGCUGCUUCCUACAAUCAUUGAGGCUUCUUUUACUCAUUUUCCGUUGCCAAGCUAACGAAAUUGCCUACAAACUUGCUGGAUACAGUCUUACAGUUAAUCAUGAUUGUAUUUGGAUUGAAUCCCCUCCGGACUUAACUCUAGAUGUUCUCAUUGAGGAUGCUCCUCUGCCAUAAUUGGCCUUUGUAAUGAUCUUUUGCUCAUGAAGAUGAAUCAACUAUCGUUUCAUUAAGUCAUUCAGUACUAUGAUUUAAUGUUAUUUCUCUUUAAUUGAAAGUGAGAGAUAUUGGAUUCGAAUAUCGUGGAUGACGAAUUCGAUACCAAAUUAGGCUGCCCAUUGUGUAGCUUAGCCGAACUCUCUCUUAUCUUAGUAUAAAAAUAUCGAUGUACUAAAAAAACUAUCAUUUCAUUAAAAAAAGAGAAAAUAUAAGUGGAAACUUUCCCAUUUUACUAAAUUAUAUUUUAUAGAAGAAUUAUGAAAAUAAACAAUGACGAUAUUAGUGAUGCAUGCAUAAUCCUAGGCUCCUACCUAUCAAUCUUUUUUCCUUGGUGGAGUAGGUGAGAUUAAAGACUAGUUAAUAGACGAUAUUAUCUUAGCUAAGCUGACAUUAACAGCUUUAUUGUAUAAUAGAGCUAUGACACAUUCAAUGAGGAGGAUGACUUGAGCGUAUAGGUAAGCAGUCUAAAUUUCAACCAUAUACUAAAGAGCUUUGUGAGUUUUCUUACGAAGAUUACUCUUUCCAUAUAUAAUAAUUAAGUACUCAGCAACCUAUUAGUAAUGUCCAUAUACUUGGAAAUCCCUCGAACCAUAGUAGUUUAACACUUUGGCUUAGGAUGUUAAUGUUUUUAUUCGAAUUUAAUAAUAUUUGCAUUUCGACAAAAUAAAAUAAUAUUAAAAUAAAAUAAUCCAUCCAACUAAAAGCUGAUUCUCCUCACUUAUCGUUUCUAGAGUUCAAAUCUUCUACACUUAGUUUGUAUGUAGUCUUCCUAGGCCUCUAUAAUGACAUGAUCAUAAACUUAAUCGAUAUUAAUUAUGUUGUCAUAAACUUAAUAUGUGUCAAUUAAUAAUAGAGACUAAUGUAACAUACAAAAUGAUGCAGAAUGUUUCAGCUUCUGUUUCUAUUCUUUCUCAAUUAUUUAGUUGAAGCCAUCAACGCCUCGGUAAGAAUGGCAUUCCCAUUGGUCUGACUUUUAUUUGGAUCACGUCAGAAUAUGAAAUUAGGGUUUUUUUUUUUUUUUUUUUUUUUUUUACAAUUAAAAGCUUUUUUAGCUAUAUUUGACGUAGAAGCGCUUCUAGGUUAUAAGGCUUUUUUUUGGAGAAGAACCAUACAUGUUUUUCUUCACAAAGCACUUACAAGUGUUUAAAAAAGAAAAAAAAUCACUUGGAUUUUUAAUAAAAAUAUUUUUAGGAAAAAUAUAGAAGAUUGUUUUGAAAUAGUUGAAAGCGAUUUUUGACAACGUAAAACGCUUUUGACAUAAAAAUAAGAAAUUGCUACUAGUUCAUAAAAACGAUUUUGAUUGAAUUUGGCAUUAAAAUAUGAAAGUGCUACAAGUUCAUAAAUUGCUUCUUCACGAAGCUUCAACGUGUUUGUACUAACAACCCUUGAAGCAAAAAUGCUUGAACACAAAUAUUUCCUACAAAACAAUACGCAAAAUCACUUCGAAUCGUUUCAGCUCAAAAAAACAAAAAAACAAAAAGACGCGAGACCCACUAUGUGCUGCCCUAGGGUUAUGCGAUGCAAUGCAUUGUCUUCAGCUUAGGCUUGAUCGAGAAUCGAGAAUCGAGAUAGAGUAUGCCAUGAUGGACCAAAUUGCAGGCCUCACGAAAUUAUAACCCAGUUCAUAGAUAGGCCCCAGCUCGACCUCUCCCGAGUGCACCCAGUUGGGUCAGUCCAGGCCCAUAUGAACUCAGAAUUCAAAGUUAGCAAGGAACUGUCCAGAUCAAUUCUGCAAAACCCAAAAGGUCAUUGAUUAGACAAGGUGGACCUUUUGCCAGCAGUGAGAAUCAUUAUGGCUUCUGUAAUUUUCAAAAGUGAUUCCUAUACAUCCACUGUCCAAGAAACCUAAUAACCACGAUUUCAAUUUGCAACAUCCCACGCAAACAAAUUAUCAAAUAAAAAAAGAAGUAAUUUUCACGCACAAUUUCUUUCUUAAUUUACAUACUGAUGUAUUUUUGCCGAUUUAAUUAAAUAAAUCAAAUAAAAUCAAUAAACGAAAAGAAAUAAAAGUGUGUAUAAGUAGGAAAUGACAUUAAAAAUUACCUAGAAGAAACAAAAUAAAAAAAGGAUGUGCAUUUUCGUGUUUCAAGUUUAGGACUGUUUGUUUUUGGUGAAUAAAGAAGCAAUGUGUUCUUUGGGAUUUGCGCAUGCGAGGCCAAAAUAUUAGGUGCCAAGUGCGAACCAGGAGGGGGGAGAGAGGAGAGGGGUCGUAGAUUCCAAGAACCAUGCGUUGUUCACCACCCAGGCAUAAUGCAUUUCAAAUUUGAAGGCUUGAACCUCCUAUUAAUCUAUGAAGUUGUAGCUUUCAGAUGGGUCAGCCAUCCCCAUCUGCAUGCCCAUGGGCCAUAUCUGUGCCCCAGCGGUUCCGAGCGGCUUUUCUUGUAUAGAGAAAAUCUUUCAUGCAUCCGAGAUCCAACGAAGAAAUUUUAUGUUAAUCACAAAUUAACACGUGAAAAAAAUUAUAACAUAUAACAUUGACAGUGUAAGUAAGUUUCUCUUAUGACCUAAAGCCAGACAUCGCUGUCUCCUAUCGCAUCCCAUACAGCCCUAAAAUGCACAUCUUUGAAAGCAAGAAAAGGGCUUUGGUCACGGUCGUAGUCACUGUACCCUCUAACUUUAAUCAAUUAGCUAUAUGCAUGGCAGCAUGGCAUAUUAUGAAUUUAUGAUGAAAGACAAACGUACGUGAUUACUUAUCUUUCAGUUUCCUUCAAGUUUCAGCUUUUGCCAUUCUCAGGAAAUGACCAAAACCUAUUUACCACGAUGAUUCGCUUCGCAAGUUAUGUCAAGAAUUGGCAUGCAGUAUGCACUACUACUAAACGGUUCCAUUUCCAAAAGCACUUUUAAUUUCAAACGUAUAAAAAACAGGUUGGUGGAUUCGUUGUACGUUCAAUUAACGCCAGCGGUAAGCUUAUCAAAUACUACUAUUGUGUUAAAAAGGAGGAAAACUUCUGACUACUUUAUUCAUGACACCUCUUAUAAAAAUACGAAAUUGUUUGUAUUUUAAUUUUACUUGACGAUUCUAAUUAAUGCGAGAGUUGCCCGGUAUGACAUUGUUACUAAAAAUUUAAAGAAAAAUUAAUGAAAAUAGUUUGAAAACUUUGAGUUUUAACGAUAAAGACAAAAUAAAGGGUAAAUGAGUAUCAUCCCCGGCAGCCAUUGGGCUUCUAAAUAGAUAUCAUCUUAUUCUAAACUUUUCUAUCUUCAUUUUGAUAUAUUAUGUGUCAAAUUAGGUUAAGAAACGAUUGAGUUACGAAGUUUUGAAAAUUGCCCAAACUUCUGAUCAAAAGCUCCAGACACUUAACAGAAUGACCAAAAUGAUGGAUGGUGGACAAUCUCAGGGACCACUUUUAUCAAUUUGAAAUGUUAGGGACCAAAGUGAUGAGUUAUGCAAAUCUCAGAGACCGUUUUGGCUAUUUAGCCAACAUUUUAUAAUUCUUUUCUCACUAACUUGGUCUCAAUUCUGUACAACUUAGAAAGACCAUCACACAAGUGUGUGUGUAUCAGGUCCUUUAAACAGAGAGAUUCCUAUAUUUAAAAAAAAAAAAAAAAGAGGACAUCAUCUUGACCGUUAGAUUGACUUUAAUGAAAUUAUGUGGUUGAGAUUAAAUCACAUGUCACACAAUCUUAACCAUACAAUUUCAUUAAAGUCAAAUCUAAGUCAAGAGGGUGAAUGAUGAUCCCUCUUGUUAAAGGAUAUAUAUAUUACAGUUCAUCACAGAAAUACAGCUAUACAGUUUUACGGAUUCAGGUAAUCUUCAAAGGACACGAAAAAAAGAUUUGAAGUGGGGAGUGAGAAGACUCAUGGGCCAUGCAUGUCAUUAAAGAUAAACAAUAAUUACAACUUCAUCGAUUAGUUUGGCAAGGGAAAGCAAUAUUACGGAUUCCAGGUGCUUGCUGUGAAAAGUGAAUAUACACGUAGAGUAAUGCUAGAAAUAUUAAUAUUUAGAUAAAAUUUGUAAAUUAAAUGAUGCGUCGCUAAUAAGAAUGAGUGCGUUUAUUAAUGCUUAAGUAAUAUUCAAUCAUCAAUUUAAAUAUUAUCUAAUUUAUAAAAUUUUAUUUACAAUAUAUAGAGUAAAUUGUAGCAAUGGUCCCUGAACUUUACUCAAAUUGGAGCAAUAGUCCCUCAACUAAAAAUCCAUUACCAUUGGUCCCUCAACUUAUCAAAAUAUGUAGCUAUAGUCAUUUUCAUUAAUUUCUUCAAAUUUUUGUCAAAAUAUGUUAUGUUGGAAUAACCAUUUAUUUAAUUAGGAUCCCUCAACUCAUCAAAGUGUGUAAUUAUGGUCAUUUUUGUCAACUACUUAAAAAAAUUUGUCAAAACGAGUUAUAUUUGAAGGACCAUAGCUACAAUUGGGAUAAAGUUAAGGGACCAUUUCUCCAGUUGAAUUAAAAUUAAGGGACCAAAGGUAAUGAGUUUUUAGUUGAGGGACCAUAGCUGCACGUUUUAAUGAGUUGAAGGACCAAUAGUAAUGGAUUUUUAGUUGAAUGACCAUUGCUCCAAUUUAAGUAAAGUUCAGGGACCAUAGCUACAAUUUACUCCAAUAUAUAUCAUCACAUGCCGCUAAAAACUGAAAUAUCACCGACUUCGAGUAAUGUUUUCAUUCGAUAACAUCAGUCAAACACGUGUAUAUAUAGUAGUUAAGCUUUCAAUCCUUUAAAUGUUCAAAAGUUUACAUUUUACAUCAAACACAGUUGGUUGAUAUACAUGCAUUAUUAGUAUCGCUAAAGAUCGAUCGUAUUCGAAAAGUCUUCGUCUACACGUACACACACUGCAUACAUAAUCUAGCCUCUUAAUCGAUUUGCAUUUAUGUUGAAAGGGAAAUUAAGUAUACAUACAUACAUACAUACAUACAUACAAAAUAUAUAUAUAUAUAUAUAUAUGAGGAAAGUUAAUAUAUUUUUUUGCCUUUCAAAUCUGUUGUGCUGUUUUGAGAUAAUAUAGAUACAAAACAGCUCGAAAACUCACCGACUCGACAUGCAUACUUUUUAUGAAAAAUAUUUUUCUUUUGGUCAAACCUUUUAUGCAAAAUAUAAACCUCCUAAUGACAUGCAUGUAAACCGAUUUACAUAUGUGUGUAUAUACAUGAUAUGGUGUUAAAUAGUACGCAAAUGCCUUGUUUGGUAGAGAGUAUUAGCUUGGCUAUGACUAUUAUAUAUUGAAAGCAAUUUGAAGGAAUAAAUCGAUGACAAUUUUUAUAUGUUGUCUAAGUUGAAGGCCAUUUAUGAAGAAACAAUAUUCGUACUAAUCUUCACAAAAAGGUAUUGCACUAAAACAUUCAACUCUUAUUCAUAAACCUUUAAUUUGGACAAAAUAAGAAAAGUUGUCAUUGAUUUCUUUCUUCAACAUGCCUUUAAUAUAGUAAAUAAUUCUACCAAACCGGCCAAUUCUAUCUAACAAACCAGGCCAAACAGUACAGACAAACACAAAUUCAUACAUAGUUUGGCAUGCAAGUAAACAAACUUGUCAGUUUCUAAUGGAUGAGGAUGAAGUCUAGUUAACAACCACACACAGUUUAUUCAUCAGGGUUGACAAUUUUUCAUUUUAAUUAAAUUAUAAUUUUUUUUAUAAGAUGAAUACAGCAAAUGUUAGGGCACACACCAAUGCACAUUGCUUUUGAAAUAAGACACCAAACCUAUCAGCCAUACACAUGUCGCAACCAGCUAGCUAGAGUUUUCAGUUCUAUAUAUACCAUCAAAAUCUAUAAAAACCCGAGAGUUAUCUUCGAAGUCCAAAUUUGUACAUAUACAACCUAACUCCACAAAUUAAGGGCAUCUUUAAUGAAAAAAAAAUGCAAAUUUGAGAUACAAAAAUUAUUACUACACCUCAUCUUACAUUUUCGACAUAUAUAAAUGAAAAUUCUACUAUAAUGUGAGGGAUUUAAAUUUGAGGUUGCAUUUAAGUUUAAGUCUUUUAUAUAUCAAUUAAUUUUGCGUUGGCGAAUUAAAAAACUUUAAAGUUACACAAAGUUAUCUUUUGCUAAUUAAAUUAAUUUCAAGCUGAAAUCUCAUCAAAUUCCUUCGUCGAUUAUUCACGUGUUAGAGUUAAACAAUAUCUUACAUGUGGGGUUUAGGGGACUCUAAACAUUAAGAAUUAAGGAACCUCAUGAUAGUUUAUAAGAAAGUGAUCCUCUUAUGUAACGAAAUAAUUUUAGAAUGAAACCUCAACUACUUAUGAACAUCCUCAUUCAUUUUUUACUCCACGUGCUUCUGGCUAGCUCUUUUGAGAAGUUUUCCGAAUGCACCAUGAUAUCGUGAUUGCAUCUUCAUGUUCUAUACUAUAUAGAGUUGUGGUAAAAAUCUUGUAAGUCUUUAACACAUGUUUGGGACACUAAAAGUGUUUCCAUAAUCAUGACAAGCAUAUGGGCACACACAAAGUGUGUGAGAAAUUUUUUUAUUUUUGUUUUUGAAAUAGAAGGAGAGAGGAAGAGAUAUAUAGCGAAUGUGGGAGUAGGAAGUUUUUUUUUUUUUUUAAUUAGAGAUAUGUUAGGAUUACAUAUGGGUGAUGUUUUGAAAAAAAAAAAACAGCAAAAUUUGGUUGUGUGAAAUUACAUUUUGCCUCAUAUUUCUUAUUCAUGUUAUGUUUUAAUUAGAAUGUUAAACUGGUAAUUUCAUAGGAUUUUGGUUGACAAUUAUUGUUUUAUUAAUCAGUAGAUAUUAGAGUUAUUAUGUCAAUCGGCCUGGCUUGCAACUCAUGGUGAACCACAAACAUCAAAACUCAUUCGCGAAAAAGCGCACAAAUUUGUUGCAAGUCCACGCAGCCAUCAUGAUAACCUCUCGUCUUAAAAACCUAAUAAGUAAUUUCAUUUAACUUAAUUAUAGUUUUGUACAAGGGUAAUAUUAGAUAAACCAUCUAUUUAAACUAUGUUAAUAAUUAAAUUAUGAUCACUUAAGUGUUGAUUAACGUAAUUAUGUUUUAGUGACACUCACAUAAAUUGCAAGUUUGAUUUAAAAAAUUGAUCUAACUAGCAUUGCCCAUCUCUAUAAUUGUGUGUUCUAAGUAAUGUAAAUUAUUAAAUAAAUGAUCAUAUAAUUUCAGUUUAAUUAAUAUCCAAGUUCCAACAUUUACGUAUUAUAGAAAAUUACUAGAAGUUCGCCAUCAUUCUAAAAGAUUUAGUCAAAUACACGUUAUCAUAAAAGAUGCUGUAUGUAGUGAAGUGAGUUCAUCAACUAACUGAAAAUCAUGAAUUAAUACUUUUUACUUGAUAAACCUAGGACGGAUAGUCAUCAAAAUAUUAUUUUUGUCACUGUGUCAUAUUACAUGGUCCUAAACAAGAACAAUUAAGGGGUGGUUUGGGAGUGAGGUGCUUAAAAAAAAAGCACCCAUGAAAAAAAACUGUGAGGGUUUUAGGUGUUUGGUAAACUGAAAAAAAAGGGCUUAUUUUGGAAGCUGCUGUGAGAAUAAGCUGAAAUCAAAGGAAAAAGUUGAAGCUGCUAUUUGCAGCUUUGGAAAACUAGCUUUUUUUCAAAGCACACAGAGCUACAGUGCUUCUUUAAUGAAAAGACCCACUAUCAGACUGCUUUUUUUUUCAAAAGCACUUUUACAAAAAAGUUUACCAAACACUCUGCUGAUUUAUUUCACAUCCGCUUAUUUUCACAGCAGUUUUUUUUCAAAGCACAACAAUACCAAACCAGCCCUAAAUAUAGCAGGCAGACUAUUAGAACCUACUUAAUUAACAUUUUUGUAACGUGGCAUGAUCUGAUUAAUCUACGUCAAUAAGUUUUGUACAAAUAAUCUCUGAAAAUUGUGUCGUACAAGGACAAACACCAUCUUUUGCAAAUUUCAAAACUGCAGUUAGGGUGCUAAACAACUCAGCAUGUUGGAUUAACAAUGAGCUUAUGGAAAAGCAUCAUCUUUUUUCUGGGGAUCCUAGGGAUCCUGCAAUUAUGAUUGUUUAUUGUACAUCAUGCGGUAAAAAAUAAUUUCAAAUUUUAAAAUUUAAAAUUAAAUAUAAAUAGUACCUAACGAUUUUUGAUUACACGAUGUACGAUAAACGAUCACGAUCAUGAAAUUCCUAUAAUCUCUAAGAAAAGGAUCCUUGAAUACUGAGGAAACAAACAAUAUCUAUUAUAUGAGUUCCACUUCAAUGCUUGUAGUAUUAAAUGUUACGAGCAAUGAAUGAUUUGAAUUUACGAAACUAUACUAUACAGAGUUUAAAUAGAAGCAUUACACGCAUCGUCUUGUUGUAUACUACUAUACUCAGUUGUGGUAAAACCUUGUAAGUCUUUAACACAUGUUUGGGACAUAAUCAUGAUUAGAGUUAUUAUGUGAAUCGGCCUGGCUUGCAAUUCACGGUGAACCACAAACAUCAAAACUCAUUCGCGAAAAAGCGCACAAAUUUGUUGCAAGUCCACGCAGCCAUCAUGAUAACCUCUCUUGUCUUAAAACCCUAAUAAGUAAUUCCAUUUAACUUAAUUAUAGUUUUGUAUAAGAGUAAUAUUAGAUAAAUCAUCUAUUUAAACUAUGUUAAUGAUUGGAUUAUGAUCACUUAAGUAUUGAUUAAGGUAAUAUUUUCUAUUAGUGACAUUCGCAUAAGUUGCAAAUUUAGUCUAAACAAUUGAUCUAACUAGCAUUACUCUUUUGAAUAAUCAUGUAUUUUAAGUAAUGUAAAAUAUUAAAUAAACGAUGGAUGCAUUCAUGUCAUAUAAUUUCAGUUUAAUUAAUCUCCAAGUUCCAACAUUUACGAUAUUAUAUACUAGAAGUUCGUCAUCAUUCUAAAAGAUUUAGUCAAAUACGCUAUUGCACGUAGUGAAGUGAGUUGAUCAACUAAUUGAAAAUCAUGAAUUAAUACUUUUUACUUAAUAAACCUAGGACGGAUAGUCAUCAAAAUAUUAUUUUUGUAACUUGCGUCAUAUUACAAAGUCCUAAACCAGUAGGCAGAAUAUUAGAACCUACUUAAUUAACAUUUUUUGUAACGUGGCAUGAUCUGAUUGAUUCACGUCAAUAAGUUUCGUACAAAUAAUCUCUUAAAAUUGUGUCGUACAAGGACAAACACUAUCUUUUGCAAAUUUCAAAACUGCAGUUAGGGUGCUAAACAACUCAGCAUGUUGGAUUAACAAUGAGCUUAUAAUGAAUACUGAGGAAACAAACAAUAUCUAUUACAUGAGUUCCACUUCAAUGCUUGUGGUAUUAAAUGUUACGAGCAUUGAAUGAUUUGAAUUUACGAAACUACAAAUCAAUAAUCCAAAUUAAUUUAGAUCAUCUAACGAUGCUUGUAACAUGAAAGAAUUUUCUCUAUUAUAUAUAUAUGCUGUUCAUAAAACAUCUGUAUAAUUGCAUAACAUGCAUGCGUGCGUACGUUGAGUAAAUAUUAUAAUAUAUUAUAAUAUAUACAGAAUACCCUUUGUCGAAGGGUGUGGCGCUACCGAAUUAUCAACGAAAAAUUUAAAAAUAAAUUGAUUGGAGAUAUAUAUAGGAAAUGGACAGUAGAUCAGAUCAGACACAAAGAAAAGUUUAUUAGGUGCUGAAAAAUACAAGACAAACUAUAUUAUAUUAUUUAGUUUGAUAAUUAGGUGAGCCAAUUCUUUGUAUCUAUGCAUGGAAGAUCAUAAUCGAUAAUAAGUUUUUAUUGCUGAGCAAUGUUUUCAAUUUGGAAUAAAUUUUUUUUCCUACUGUUAGUUAGUUUUUUUUGGUCAAACUAAUGCAGUUCGUUACUGUUGUGCAUAUGAGAGCAUGUUUAGCAGGUGAGAGGAAGGAGAUAAUUUUAGCGUGGCUGGAAAGCACCUUUUGAUACAACAAAUAUUUUAAUACAAAGUUGUUGGAUAUGUUCACCAAAAAAAAAAAACGUUGUUGGAUAUUUGAAGAAAAAAAUUUAACCACUUAAAACAUGAAUCGGUAUAAAUAAGUGGGCACUUUUUUACUUUUUCUCUUUUUUCUUGGAUAAAAUCCAAAACCUAAAGAGUGAGUCAUGAUUAAAGUAAGAGGUCUUUCAUCUCUGGCUCUUUGUUGGUCAGGCACGUGUGGCUGACCUGGUUACUUUUAGACUCACCAGUCACUUAAGCUGCAGGCUAAAGUAAACAGAUUGUGGUUGACUUUGGCCCACUUCUCAAGACCCUCCCAUCUCCAACACCAGUACCACCGUCCUCUCACCCACACCACUGAUCGUCAGGAGUAUUGGACGGCUAGAUCAGAAGCAUUACAGGCUGAUGCAGCUGGCAACACGUAUCUUUCCCUAUCUAUUUGAAUCUUGUCGUAAACUCCGACUGAAUAGUCGAGCUAUAUAUGCUUAUUUACAUUACACGAUAUCACAUGAUAGAGCGGAAUAUGAUCAUUUUAUAUGUUCGUUUCAUGUAACUUGUUCUUAUGGUUUGUUUUUGGUUGAAUCUAAUAAUUCAAAGAUGUACAAGGAGAUACGAAAUGUUGAAAAAUGACUUCUUUCACCUGUUCUGUUGUUUUCACCCCCAACUCACAUGUCUACGUGCCAAGCCUUCCAGUUUUGACCAAAGCUAGGAAAGUUCACAAAACGACGGGGUCGUACCUUUCAGGUUAUCGCCGACGGAUAGGUCCAACGGAACCCAUCCCAUCAAAAAGAGCCAAUUGGAUUUGUGCCCACUGCCCACAGUCAAAUCAGCUCCCCACGCUAAUUCCAAUUUCUCAGUUUCUACCAUGAGUUUCUAUCGCCAAACGGUGUCCUUAUCCUCAACCCUAAAUGUGUGGUCCAUGACCAUUUCGCACAGGAUGCUUUGCUUGUGACUCCACCUUCCUUCAAACGCAAAACACCAUCCAUACACACAAAGAAAAGUUUUGAGUUAUUGUCACAAACUUAAUGUUGUUCCUUAUUCACGCGUUAUAUCAACCACUUAAAAAUGCUUACCAUUUACAACAGCAAUUGAAAGUGCUUUAUUCAAUGAUUUCUUUCUUAAGGAAACACUUAGAGUCUGUUUGAUACUCUACUUGAAUCUAAUUUUUUAAACUCAAAAAUAAUUUUCAAGUUUUAGGCCUUCAAAACUUGUUUGGUAGGACUAUUUUCAAAAACUGAACUUAAGACUAAUUAAAAAAUAUAGUCUAUUAUCUAAAAACAUAAAAAGUGAGUUUUUAGAGUUUUUAAACUUAAACUCACUCAUUUCUUUUUUUUCUAUUCUCUACUCUCACUCCAAAUCUAUCUCUUUUCUUCUUUCGCUCCUAUCUUUUUUUUUACCUUUUUCGUCUCUCCUCCAAUCUGCUCUCUUCAUUCUCUCGGUUAUUUCUUUCACUCAUCUUCCUCUCAAUCUCGUCCGAUCCUCUCUCUUAUUUAUCUUUCCUUCAAUCAUUUCUUACUUUCUUUCCUCCUCUCUCUUUUUUCUCUCUCUCAUGUGACCCCAUCUUUUUAGAUUUUUUUGUCUAAUUUAAAUUGCAAACCAAUCAAGUUUUUGAAUCUUAAAGAAAAUUGUUUAAGGAAAUCUUCUUAAGAAAUGUUUUGAAAAAUGAUAAAAAAUUUUAAAUAGAAUACCAAACAAACAUGUUUAGUUUUCAUCAAAUUUUUACGUGCUUAUAACAAACAGGCUAAUAAUAAAAUUCUUAAAAGCAUGAAAAGUCAUGGCCGACUUAUAGAGUGUGGGAGAUGUGGGACCGCAUAUGGCUCAAUGAACCUAAGGGCCCCUGAUUACAGAAAAUUACAGGGGGAGUGGGAGGCUAUGCUGGUGCGAGGAAGAAGAAAAUGCGUACCUUUGGCCACUUUGUGUUUAUUUUUAUGCAAUUAUUUAUUUUUUUACAGAAAAUUAUAUGAAGUAAAAAUAAUAAUAUGAGGUAAAAAAAAUUAUAUGAAAAAAAAAAAAAGGUUCCCUGCACACACUACAGACGGUCAUAUGCAGAUGACAUAUGACAGAGACCCUUGAAAAUAAAUAAAUCCCACCGCCCCUCUUCCAUCUUCAUCUUCCAUCUUCUCUCUCCUCCAGUCUCUCCCAGACUCCCUCCCUCCCAAUUCCACUCUCCCACACCAUGAAUUCAUUUACCACUCCACACUUGUCCUAAUUCAAAACCCCAAAUUAAAAAUCCCAACAAAGUUCAAAUCACUCUGAAAAUUUCUGAAAUUUGCUAUAAAGCUCCGAGCUUUGAGAAUGGUUUCUCUACAAGAUUCCCAUUCCGGCUCCAGCCACCACUUCCCGCCUCACACCCGCAACUUCUACUCUCCCUCCUCCACCAAAAUCCACCGUCAAACCGGCCGCUCCAUGCGCACCAUCCGCUCCAACAUCUACCAAGACGAUCACUCCCGCACCUCCUUCGCCGCCGAAAGAUCGACUUUUGUCUCCGAGAACCUGACCGAUUCGGUCGUCGACAUGCGCCUCGGCGAGCUCGCCCUCCGCACCCACAGCUCCGCCAGCAAGUCCGCGUCUUCCGACGAGGAGUACCUCCAGCUCUCCCAAGCCUUCAGUGAUUUCUCCGCCUGCAGCAGCGACAUAUCGGGAGAAUUGCAACGCCUCGCAAGCUUGCCGUCGCCGGAAAACGCGCCGACCUCCGAAUUAUCCGAGGCUGCGCCGGAACCGGAGCCAUGCCAGGGGUUUUUGCAGAGGGAGAAAUUCUCGACCGAGAUCAUCGAGAGCAUUUCGCCGGAGGAUCUUCAGCCGACGGUCAAGAUCUGUGUCGACGGCCUCCAAUCGACGUCGCUUGCCGUGAAGCAAUCUGCAGCGGCCAAGCUCAGGCUUUUAGCGAAGAAUCGGGCUGAUAAUCGCGCCUUGAUCGGGGAGUCCGGCGCCGUUCCCGCUCUAAUUCCUCUACUGCGGUGCAGCGAUCCAUGGACGCAAGAGCACGCCGUCACGGCGCUGUUAAACCUCUCGCUGCACGAAUCAAACAAGGCCAUAAUCACCAAUGCCGGAGCUAUAAAGUCGUUAGUGUACGUCCUCAAGUCGGGGACGGAAACCUCGAAGCAAAACGCAGCCUGUGCGCUGCUGAGCUUGGCGCUAAUAGAAGAGAACAAGAGCUCAAUCGGAGCCUGCGGUGCAAUUCCCCCGCUGGUUUCGCUGCUAAUAAGUGGAUCCACGAGGGGCAAAAAGGACGCUUUGACGACUCUGUACAAGCUCUGCUCGAUAAAGCCCAACAAAGAGAGGGCGGUGAGCGCGGGAGCUGUGAAGCCGCUGGUGGCACUGGUGGCGGAGCAGGGGACGGGCUUGGCGGAGAAGGCGAUGGUGGUGCUGAGUAGCUUGGCGGGAGUCGAGGAAGGGAAGGAGGCUAUUGUGGAGGAAGGCGGGCUGGCGGCGCUUGUGGAGGCGAUUGAAGAUGGGUCGGGGAAAGGAAAGGAGUUUGCGGUGUUGACACUGUUGCAGCUGUGCAGUGAGACUCUGAGGAACAGAGGAUUGCUUGUGAGGGAAGGAGGGAUUCCGCCAUUGGUUGCGCUUUCGCAGACUGGGACUGUUAAAGCUAAGCACAAGGUAUCUUGAUCAUUUCAUUAGUUGGGUAUUUGGUACUACAAUCUUUCUAAGUGUUAAAUUGUGUAGACGAAAUGGUGCUAAUAUUGUUUAAAUUGUAGACCGAAAACCCAUCCCGCAGUUUAGAUUAGAUUAGAAUAUCGCACGGAUAAAAAAAAAGAUUGUUCAUUUUAAAUUGGUAGCUAAAGCUGUUAGUUGAAGGAAGUAAACAAUGAAAUGCGAAUUGUCAUGCAUUUUGUAAUUCCAAGUCUGCAUGUGGAUGUUGUAUUUAUGAUCAUGGUCUUAAUGGAGCUCGCUUGGUUGGUUUAUAAUGGGGGUUUGGUUGUUUUUGCAGGCUGAAACGCUUCUUGGGUACUUGAGAGAACCGAGACAAGAAGCGUCCUCUUCGGCUCUUUAGAGAAGCGAAGGGAGGUACUUUCACAACUUAGAGAGGGAACUAUACUAUGUGUCUGUGUAUGUAGUUUGAGUAGUGUUUGAUUGCACUUGUAUAUAGGAAGUGUUGGAGUUUCAUGGUUUGUAACUUUGUACAGUUUGGUUGAGAAGCUAGGAAGAAGAAUAUGAUAUGAUUGUAAGAAGGGAGAGAGAUUAUAGGAAGCUAGUGAGCAAGAGACCACUGGCUUCUUAGCAGUUUAGAUGUAUGAAUUCAACUAGGUUUUUUGGUUGGGUAUUUUCUUUCUUUCUUGCCCUCUUUUUCUAUCAUUGACUUGGUUUUUUGUAGGGGUGGAAAACUAUUACUUGUUUGCCUUGUGGUUGUUUUGGGUCAAUUGGAUCCUUGUGUUUUGUAUGCGUAAACCCGAAUUUUGCUGUAAGGGUUUUACCGAUUAUCUGGUUUUAGUUAUCUGCUUGCAAAAGUAUCGUCUCUGUUCCUUCGUUAUUGAUUGUGUUCUAAUUUCGUGUCUGAUGGAAAAUUGGAAAUUCAUAUGUUGUUGGAGAUACUGUGGGAGGGAGGCUGAACAAAAUGUUCUCUCCUCCUUCAAAGCUCUGUGUUUAGUUUCUGUUGGUUGUACCCAAAUUGGGAUCUUGAACUCCGACGCCAAGGUGGUGACAGUUUUUCAAACCAAUCAUGAGGUGCCAUAUGGGCUUAAAGAACGUAGUGACUUGAGAUAGGUUAGGCGUUUCUAUUUCAUACAACUCUCCCUCCAACUUGUGGUGUGUUCGUUGUCCGGUUAUUCCUUGCUUAGUAGAGAAUGCAAACUUUAAAGCUUUAUUCUCCACAUCUUUUGUCAAUUUUCUCGGCUACCAAACAGCAAGUGAUACUACACCGUUUGGGAGCAUUAUAAAGUAGAGCAGGUGAGCUGCCGUGGGCUACCCCAUCACCUCUCUCUCCCUCCCACCCCCGCACCACCUGUCCAACUACACGCAAUUCAUCCAAGGCAAAGCCAGAGGCCACCGGACAUGGAUCCUCUCCGGAUCCAAUUGUCCUAAUUUUAGGAUCAAUGAAUAUGGAUCAUUAAAAUUUAAUUAAACAGUUAUAAACAGUAACUCACUAUAAAAAUUAUAAUAAUUUUAAUUGAUGAAUCAAAUUUCAAUGGUCCGGAUUCAUUGAUCUCUAGGAUUAAGAUAAUAGGAUCCGAAGAGGAUCCAUGUCCUAGGCCACCAACCAAAAAGAUUUUUCAAAAAAUUGUCCCGCUGCUGCUGGUGCAGUGCACUGCACAGUGUGUACAUAUAUUAUCUUUAAUUCUUUAUUCAAAUUGAUGAUAUUAUGUGGUUUGUCGGUACGUAGUAAAAGAAAUGAUGCAUUAGCUGGCGGAGGAGGAGGAGCAGGUAUUGUUUUGUCCCCCUGUUCGUUUGGAUUGGAUGGUUGCAAUUUGCAUUUCUUACUCAAUUUCUUACUCAAUUUCUUACUCAAUUUCUUACUCAAUUGCAAUGUCUGUCGGUGCGCCCUUUUCUGACAACUUUUUUUUGAGCCUCACAAGUGCACACGCGUCCAAAAUGUGUAUGUUAUUAUUUUGCAUGGCUCACCAAUUGCAAUAUCGAAUCGUACAUUGUUAUGUAUUCUAAUUUUCUCGUACAACUAUGCUUGAUUUGUCUGGAAUAUUGCCGCCUUAUGGGGUAAGAUGAAAGGAGGGGGUGGGAAUGCUUCUAUAGAAAGCCCUUUGUGCUCAUAACAUUACUCGUUUUAAAAAGCAGUUUCAAAUGCUUGGUUAAUUCAGAAAUACGCAACUUUUUAAGUCAAAACAUUGUUAAAACUUUAAGUUAUUCUUGAAACACUUUAAACAUGCUCAAUAAAUAGAACCUAAUAGAAAACUGAUAUAUAAUAGACCAUAUUAUGAUGACAUGACAUAUACAUAUUAAUUGUUUCAUGAUAUUAAAGCACGAGCUGUGAUAGUAUGGUCAUCAAAAUAUGGUAAUUCCUCACAAAACAUUGGUCCCUAUUCGACUGUACUAUUCCUCAACUUUGGCCUUACCUUUGGUGUCCUUGGGAGCAAAUAGCUUAGGUCUGAAGCCUUUCUGCAGCAACUUCUCAACCUCUUCAAAUUGCAUUCCUUUGGUUUCAGGAACUAGCAAGUAAAUGAAUAUGAGUCCAAUAAGAGAAAACCCAGCAAAGAGGAGAAACGUUCCCGCCGAACCCAGCGCUUUCGUCAGAGUCAAGUAUGUCUCGCUCACUAUGAGAUUGGCCGUCCAGUUUGAAACUGCAGCGAUUCCUCCACCCGUCCCUCUGUAUCUCAGCGGGUAUAUUUCCGAGUUCACGAUCCAUGGCACUGUUCCCAUUCCGGGUGCAUACAUUAUAAUGUACAAUCCCAAUAGUAUCACUGCAAAUAUUCCGAUUUUACUAGGGCAGCCUUUACUGUACCAUGUCCUGUGUUCUCCACGACAUAAGUCCCUGAUAUUAUCACUGGCGGCCAAGCAAGCUCCCGGAGCGAGCUGACAACAAUCAAGGGGAAAAACAGAUUACUUAAGGUUACAUGUUUAAUUUCUAAUGAUUAAAGACUCAUUAGUGAGUUAUUUUGUACACUUACAUCCUUGAUUUCACUAGCACAGAAGCCACAUUCUUGUUUCAAACACGUCAUGCAGUUCCAUGCUGUAGGAUUGACAGCCGAUACAUAAGUCGGACAUGUUGAAGAGUUGCCGAAUUUAGCAGAUUCCAAAUUACUAAUCUUCGGAGAAUGUUCCGCGGCAUAGAAAAAAACCCCGGCUAACACCACAAGGCAAGCGAUAAUACCAAACAUAGAAAUGAUCAUCAGCCUUCUCCUUCCGUAUCUAUCUACAAAGCACAUGCUGAUUAGGGUUCCAACAACGUUGAGACCGGAUGUGAUGAGUGAGAGUGCCAUAGCGGUCUGGUUGGAUGCAAAACCAGCGAAUUGAACAAUGGUCGGGCUGUAAUACAUCACGGUAUUAAUACCGACAAAUUGCUGAGCUACUUGGACAGUGAUGCCUGCGUAGAGUCCUCUUCGAACCACGGUGUUGCUCAAGGCACCCUUUAGUUUUUGGAUCAUGCCAUUCCCAGCUGCUGAGUCCUCGGCCUUUUCAAAUUCGACAGAUUCAUGCAAGGCCUUCAAUUCAUCUUCCACCUCUUCUUCAGGAUAGAUUUUCUGCAAAAUUGCCCUAGCUUCAUCCACCUUGUUCUGUUUAAUAUAAACAACAUCAAUACCAAGUUAUAUGUGACAUGUUCCCUCAUAAAAUCUUAUGUUAGACUGUGAAUUUGAAUGGUUGAUUGGUCGUGUCUAUGACAUGCGCCCUCAAAUACACAGUCUGACAACAUAAGCAUUUACGUCACGUAUAGAAAUUACGUGACAGAUAUCUAGCUACUAUGAUAAUCUCACCGCUCUGUAGAGCCAUCUUGGAGACUCUGGAAGCGACAACAUCAAUAUGAACUGAACAAGGGCUGGAAGUCCCGCGACUCCAAGCAUCCAACGCCAGGUUCCCGGAGCUUUGGUGAAGGCGAGAUUGAUGAGGUAUGACAAGAAUUGUCCUCCUGUAAUUAACAUACCGUUGCAGCUAACCAGAGCUCCUCUGAUUCUAUGAGGAGAAGCUUCUGAGAUGUAGAGGGGUGCGGUCAUAGAAGCCAUUCCAACUCCCAAACCAACUACAAUUCUCCCAAUUAUGAUCACCCAUGGAGCUGGAGCCGCGCCCAUAACUAUUGCACCAACGAAGAACACCACGUCCGCGAUUAGAAUUGAUUUUUUCCGGCCAAGUGCGUCAUUCAUCCAUCCACCAACAGCAGCCCCAAUGAUGGCGCCAGCAACUGCCAUGCUCACUAUGGUCUCCUGCAGCCAUGUUUUUUUGUCAACUUCACGAAAGUCCUCCCGAAUGUAUAGCAAUGCCCCGGAGAUCACACCUGCAGCACCACACCACCAACAACAACACAUACAACUAAUUAGCACAAAGAAAAAUUGUCAUAUGAAGUAAUUAAUUGUUCGUGUUAAGAUAUUGUUUGGAACUCAAUUUGCAGAUGUUUUUUUUAGAACAAUGUGCAGCUAUUAGUUACCUGUAUCAUAUCCAAAAAGGAGGCCUCCGAUGCCAGCUGAGAGCGCAAGGCGCAUAAUGUACGGUGUCCUCCAUGUUGUCCUCCAACACUCCGUGAACUCAGUUUUGCUAGAAGGUGGGGCUCCCCCCUCCACCAUUUUUUUCUUCUUCGUCUUCGUUCAAGCAGCUCUACUUUCGCUGAGAACGAAAUCAAUGUAUGAAUGCACUCAUUUACUUGCCAACGCACUCUUAGUUACAUAACGGUUCUAAAUGAAUGCCCUCAGACAUGCAUGUUCUUAUUUGUCUUCAGUUUUUUACCUCACAAAAAUAACUAUUCAAUCUCCGCAACCCUAAUUUCUAUUUGCUUCGAAAAUGAAAGUAAUACAUAACAUUAGCUUUCGAAUGUUCCACCAUAUAACAAAGUAUAUAUAUGCAUGAAUAUAUAAACCAGAAAUUUUCUAUGCAAUACGUUCAUUAAGAACACGCGUAAAUCCAUAUUGUAACAACAAAACGUGCCUUCCUAGCUAAGUGGCUAAGUUUUUGGUGUCAUUAUGCGCUAUCCUACGGUCUCCAACAGCUUUGUGUAGAAGUAACACAUAGUAAGUUGUUUCUUCGACAAUUACUGAAGUUCAAUUUUGCCAACGAUAUUGCUGAUGUUGAAAGGUUUAUAACAACGUCAGUAACGGUUGGACACGGAAGAAAAGGGGUUUGAAGGAUGUUGCUAAUCUUUAUAUACUCUUGACCUAGUUUUCUAAAAAUGUGGAAUUCUCUAGGCUCUACACUUUUGUCUCCAUCGCCUCGCUCUUUGUUUUCUUACACGUCCUAAAACGUAGCUGAUUUCUGACCACUGACCACUAUAUAUAAUGCUUUGACCGGUUUAUACGUUUUUUAUUCUCUAUAUGCAUGCCAGAUGUUAUAUAAGAUAGCCAUGUAGUUUUGAUAAAUAUACAGACGCAUGCAUGCGCAGCAAACCCUAAAUCAUACAGACAGAUAUAAAUUAGUUCUUUAUAAACUCACCACUCCCUAUCGUCAAAUUUUAAGGAUGAAUUGCAUUCCACCAGACUAUAACAUGUACUUUUGUUUAUGCAGUAAGCAUGCUCGUUUUGUAAAUGUUUAAGCUCAUCACAAUUAGAAAUACCGAUUUCUCAUUCUGGUUAAAUAGGUAGACGCUAAAGAACGAAACUUCGGAAUUUGCAAAAAUAAGCCCAAAGAAUAGCAGGCUAAAAUUAAAAAACAGAAAACAAAUGUCAAGAAUGGGAUUCGAACCCAUGCCCUUUCGGACCAGUACCUGAAACUGGCGCCUUAGACCAACUCGGCCAUCUUGACUUUAUGUGAUUCCUAAACCAAUGCAAUUUUCAAGGCUUAAAUCUCAAAUCAAUACGUUAUAGUAUACUUUCUGGCAAGUAAAUUUUUUCCUUUUCAUUUUCAUGAGAAAAUAGAUGUGCGCGGAAGUUAGUUUCCGAUUGUUUCAUGUUUUAGUAAAAAUUAUAGACAUAUGACAUACAUUAUUCAAUUUAACGGAUAGAAAAAUUGGUUAGAAUUAAGCUUAAAUAAAAAGAUUGAUUAAAAACAUAACUUUGCGUUUUAUUGGUAAAAAAAAAAACAGGAAAUAUAAAUAAGCUCCCCUUUAACAUGGUGGGAUAAUUAUAAAAAAAAAAAAAAAGAGCAACAAUUGUGCAAUCAUGAAUUAUAUGGAUUACUUGGAGCUGAUCAGUUAAAAAAUAAAUAAAUAAAAUAACAAUUAUUUACCAAAGACUUUGUAUAGACUGACUUUAUUAAGAAAGAGAACUAAAAAUGUCUCUUCAGAACACCCACGAGUUUCAAAAUUUAUACAAGGAACUCAGGAAAGUUCAACAUUUUUGCCGACUUGCUUGCUCUUUGAAGCAAAUGGCUUGGGCCUAAACCCUUUCUGAAGCAACUUCUCAACCUCCUCAAACUGCAUUCCUUUCGUUUCAGGAACUAGCAUGUAUAUCGCUAUGAGUCCAAUGACAGAAAACCCGGCAAAGAGGAGGAACGUGCCGGCGGAACCUAGAGCAUUUGUCAAGGUCAAAAAUGUCUCACUCACAAUGAGAUUGGCACUCCAAUUUGCAACUGCAGCCAUUCCUCCACAUGUUCCUCUAUACCUGAGAGGGUAUAUCUCCGAGUUCACGAUCCACGGCACAGUUCCCAUUCCAGGUGCAUAGAUAAUGAUGUACAAUCCCAACAGGAUCACUGCGAAGAAUCCGACUUUGCUUGGACAACCUUUGGUGUACCACACACGAUGUUCUCCCCGACAUGAGCUCCUGAUAUUGUCAUUGUAAGCCAAACAAGCGCCCGGGGCAAACUGGCAGUUGCAACAAUAGAAAAACAAGUAAAUUUAUAACGUCACUCUUACAAUUAUAUGUCAAGCAAAUCGGGAAGAGACGGGGAAGUGAUUUCUGCACAUCUCUUGUCUUCCCCUGCAAUUCUGACAUACAUAAAUAAACAUGUGUGAAACGGAAAAGGUGUGUGUGGAUAUCAUUUCCCCAAAGUAAAUGAGGUGAGCUUACAUUGACUUUAUUAGCACAGAAUCCACACUCUGCUUUCAAACACGUCAUGCAGUUCCACGAUCCUGGAUUAGGAGCAGAAACAUAAGCAGAACAUGUAGAAUUGGCACCGAAAUGUGUGGAUUCCAAGUUACUGAUGCGUGGAGCAUGAGAUGCUGCCUGGAAAAACACCCCAGAUAACACCACCAAGCAAGUGAUGAUUCCAAUCAUGGAGAUAAGCAUCAGCCUUCUCCUUCCGUAUCUAUCUAUGAAGCACAUGCUGAUGACAGUGCCAACCACGUUGAGUCCAGAAGUGACCAGAGAGAGUGCCAACGCCGUCUGGUUGGAUGCAAACCCGGCAAACUGAACAAUAGUUGGGCUGUAGUACAUGACAGUGUUGAUACCGACAAAUUGCUGAGCCACUUGGACAGUAAUGCCUGCAUAGAGUCCUCUUCGGACAACGGGGUUGCUGAAGGCACCCUUUAAUCUUGCUAGCACACCUUCUCCAGCAGCUCCUCCCUCGGCCUUUUCAGCUUGGACGGAUUCAUGCAAGGCUUGCAUUUCACGCUCAACUUCUUCGGCAGGAUAAAUUUUCUCUAAGAUGGCUCUAGCCUCAUCUGCCUUAUUCUGUUUAGCAGCAAAUUAUAUGCUAAAGUGUGGUAUUAUAUAUGUCAUGGAAAUUGAAUGAUCAUACAAAAAUCUAAUGGAUGUAAAAUUUCAACAUGUUGGAAUAACUACGACCAUGAUCAUACAAAAAACAGGACACAAGACUUCGAUUAUAGAACACCUCUCUGUAGAGCCAUCUGGGAGACUCUGGGAGCGACAACAUCAAUACAAAUUGUACCAAAGCCGGAACUCCUGCUACGCCAAGCAUCCAACGCCAUGUUCCUGGAGCCUGAAGCAAAGUAAUUUACAACAACUAAUUACGUCGAAAUUUGGAGAUAAGGAAAUUGAAACCAUGAAAAUGCUAUUGGACUAAAGCCUCAAAUCUAUUAGUUGGUACCUUGGUGAAAGCAAGAUUUAUAAGGUAUGACAAGAACUGUCCUCCAGUGAUUAGAAAACCAUUUGUACUGACCAGGGCACCUCGGAUUCUAGCGGGAGAGGCUUCUGAGAUGUAGAGCGGCGAGGUCAUGGAAGCCAUUCCAACUCCAAAACCGACCAGAAUUCUCCCAAUUAUGAUCACCCACGGAGCUGGUGCAACAGCCAUUACUAUUGCUCCAAUGAAGAACACAAAGUCUGCUGCUAGGAUUGAUUUUUUCCGGCCUAGGGCAUCGUUCAUCCAUCCGCCAAUUGCAGCACCAAUGAUUGCUCCUGCAACUGCCAUACUCACUAUGGUUUCCUGCACAUCAAUGUCAAUGAAAAAUACCACAAAUUUAGCUGACAUAAACAUAAAUAUGAGCUUAAUUAUCCAGACUAAUUAGUAAUUAACAUGAGGAGAGCAAUGUAGAUUAACUCACUUGCAACCAUGUUUUCUUGUCAACAUCGCGAAAGUCCUCGCGAAUGUAGAGUAAUGCACCAGAAAUCACACCUAAAGUACUCCAACAACAGACAGAAGAAAAUUAACAAAAUUAAUCAUGCAUGGGAAUUGUCCUUUGAAUUAAUCAAACUAACUUCUGGGUUUUAACCGUGAUAUGUAUGAUUUUAUGUACCUGUAUCGUAUCCGAAAAGGAGGCCUCCAAUGCCAGCAGAGAGAGCAAGGCGCAUAAUGUAAGGCGUCUUCCAUGUUGUCCUCCAACACUCUGUGAACUCUGUCUUGCUAGCAGGCGGGUGUCCUCCCUCCAUAUCAUUCACUAUUUCUUCCUACUAACUCUAACCCUGAAACGCUCAGGUCCGAAACCAUAUAUCACUUAAUUACAAUUUCAAUCACUAGCCAAUUCUCUAUCUCUAAAAUCCUCCAAAUUUUUCUUGCAACGAGUUAAUACCGUAAAACAAAUAAAACAUGUUUAAUCCUUUCAAAUUCUUUGGUAGUUCUUCUUCUUCAACACACAAGCAAAACAACCACAGAUUAAGAAGAAUAGCAGUGUUGAAAAAGCCAUUACCUUGUUAGUAUGCCUAAUGGUGGAGCUCUUCCUGCUGUUCUUCAGCCGCCUACUUUUGGAUUUUGGAUGCUGCUUUUCUUAUCUGUAUUUUGAAUUUUGGUGAUGGAAAUUAAAUAAAUUUGAUUUUGUAUUGAAAUAAAACAAUUUUGUAACAGAUUCCUUUAUUGUUUCAAUUUUUGAGAGUUUCAAUGCAAAUAGAACACGGACAUUUAAGGAAGACUGAGAGAAAUCCAAAUAAAAGAAGAAAAAAAAGCAUUGACAAAUCAGAUUUUUCUGCAAUUAAUAUAUUUCCUGCACAAAGUCAGCAGAAAAAGGCUGACUCAAAAUUUAGAAUAAUAUUUGACUACUCAAAAUGAGUAGUAAUUCCUACUCAAAAUUUCUUAAAAUUAUUUGUUGUCAAUGUAUAGAACUUCGUUUGUAUGAUCAAAACCGUUUAUAUUAUAAAUCAUCCUAUAAAUAUCACCUCUGCAAAAAAUCAAUUAAAAUUAAAGUCGUUUAGUCAUCAAACUGUUUAAAAACAAUUGAACGGUAUUGAUAAAAGCAUUACGAACCGGCUAUGUAUUUGUUACAAUACAUUGACUAAACGACCUUAGUUUUAAUUUAUUUUUUGCAUAAAUGAUCUUUACAGUGUGAUUCAUAGUACGAACGAUUAUAAUUAUAAGUACAAAGCUCUGCGAUUAAAAUACUAUGAAUUUUGAGUAAGAAUUCCUAUUCAUCUUUAAGUAGCCAAGUAUUGUUCCAAAAUUUAAAGCCAUUUUCUCGCUAGUUUUUUUGGUUUUCUCGUUUCUUUUUUCAGUACAAUCAAUGACUCAGUACGACCUCAAAAUUUCAAAGCUGCAAUCUUUGGUACCCCAUUGAGAAUGCGACAUAGGUAUAUGAUAUUUGAUUCGAUUUGGAAGAUGAUCUGACUUUUUUCAGUUUGUUUCCUUGUGUCACUAUUUCCACAAGUAGUAAAGACGCUUCAAAGUUGUGACGAGUCUUUAGUUUUCGCACAACUAUGUAUUUUUAUGUUUAAUGUUUUUUGGACGGUUCCCAACUAUUUUGUUCCAGGUGACAAGGCACAAGGAUAAGGAUGCUUGUACAUGGAAUGAUGGAAAUAAGAUUAACAUGGCAAGAAAAGAAAAAACCGAAUGAAAUUAUUUCAUCAUAUAUGGUAGCGAGCGCUAAUAUCAUAGGAAUUCGAUGUGAAGAAUAAAGUGUCGGUUGUCGAGUACCUUACCUAUUCUCCCUUCAUCUUUAUUCGGACUUGAAACCGAUAGCCUAAGAUAAACAUACACAUGCGGAAUUAUUAUAAAUAUUGUUAUUAUUUGUGAAAAAGGUACAUAAUAGUAUGAACAUAAAAUAAUGUCUAUCUUACCAUGCAUCUAGUACGCACAAGAAAUGAAAAUAGGGCAUGAGUAGACUACCGAGUUGAUAGUCUGGUUUGGUUGACAUUCCAUAAAUUUGUAAAAACAUCUGUAAAUUUGAUUGCUAUACGUUGAAAUCAUAUCCGUAAAUUUAACAAUCCGUAAAUAUAACAAAUAAGUUUUCUUUCCUAGAGGUGACGAGCUAGCUAGCCUAAAUUCAGCAUGAAUCCGUCCCGUUUAAAAAAUUAAAAACUAAAAAUAAUUAAGUCAAAAUAACACGUGUCACUCAUAUAAAUAGGGCGUAGAAAGGCUGCAUAGAGUUUUUGAGUUAGAAGAUUUGAACUCCUCUAAUUCAGUCUGCGGAUUGGGCCUCUCUCAAAAUUUAACUUUAUGCGCAAUGCCUUUUUUAUCUUGGCCCAGCAUUGAACCUUAUAACUGUUUUACCGUUACUGUUUUCACGUUGAACUCAAACGCUUAGACGAAAAAGCCCUCAUGUGUUUUAUCAUAUUCCGAAAUUACCUUAGAUGUCGUCCUCCUCAUCCCCCUCUCAUUUGUCCGAUGUGUUCUGACGCUCUCUCUGUGCCCUUUCAUCCUCUCACCUCUCUCUCUGCUGGCCCUCCCCCCUCCUAUCACCGCCCUUCACCGCCGGUAUCCACGGCUGAUUGCCAUCCGUCUCAUCAUCCACGGUCACUCCCUCUCUCUCUCUCUCUCUCUCUCUCUCUCUCUCUCUCUCUCUCUCAACCUUGUACAUUUUAGAAUUGUAUUCCUUACGAGUUACGGCUCGUUUGGAUCUCCAAAUUCCGAUUUCGUGUAUUUGUGAAACUUUCGAUUGAUUGUAUAUCAUUUGGUUUGUUUUGCGUAUUGGGUUGAUAUUGAAAAGUGUUUUUAUGGAUCGGAUUGUUGCAGGUUUGGACACGUCCAAGCUAUUGAUCCGUUGUUGACCCCGCAAUCUGGUAAUUUCUGGAUUUUAAUUUCAUUAUUUCUUUGUGUCGUACAUAUUAUUGCCAAUAAAUGUACUAAUUUACUGUACAAGUUAUUAUCUUUCAAUAGGAUUUCGGGCCUGGUGGAUAUGACCAGUGAUUGUUACUGGGUUAUGUUUUUAGGCGUCCACAGUAUGAUAUUCAAUUGGGUAUAUUUUUAAUAGAGAUUCAAUCAGUCAAAGCUAUGAAAUUUUUUUUUUCCCUCCUUUGACUUUUCAGCUAUAUUCGAGAAUUGGGUCUGAGUUAUACAGUGAUCAUGCUGUUUUCUUGAAUAGUGCGAAUUUAUUUUUACUCCCAAAAGGAAAAACUUAAGUAAAUUGCCCCUCUGAUUUUAGGAUUGUUUUGGAGCGAAUGGGGAUCAUUCGGUUUAGCUCUUGCUCGGGAAGUAGUUGAUCAAUGUGGUUUGUGAUUGGAGUCCCCCUUUUUUUUAAUUGACUUUGAAGAUUAGCAUAAUGGUACUAAGUGGUUUACUUCGUGAGUUUGGUCUUUCAGUGUUUAAUGGCAAUUAUUACAGUAUAAAGUUGAUAUUCUGAAUAGUGCAGCUAUGUGGACCUUUAUGUUAUAUCAUGCGAUAAUGUUUCGCAUUGGGAACUUUCUUGAAAUCUCAAAUUUCAUGUUGUUUCAUCAUCAUUUCUUUGCCUCUGCCUCAUAGUGCAUUCUAUUACAAGAAUAACUGAAUGAGGUAAAUCGUUGUCAUUAUUUCUAGGUUUCAGAGGGAAAGAUGGAGUGAGAGGAGGCCAAAAAGAAGGCAUUGAGGUAUUUCUUAUAGCCUGUGUGACGGUAAACUUUUUGAGUGACGGUAAACUUUUUGAAGAAUACGUACUUAUGUAGAUUGCAAUCACAAAGACAUUUGCUUGCUGAUUGGUUAAAUUGUUUUUCUUUUACAUCUUAUGCUCUAGUUCCAGUCCCUUUAUUAAAAUAAUAGUUGUAAAAAUCUCUACGGUGGAAUAACUUGCCUUUAACAUUUCAAAUCCAGUUAAUUGUUAGAAGUCUGUAAUUCCUGAUGCUUUCUUGAUGCUGCAGGAUUUGGCACUUUUUCUGUACGGCUAGAUUGUAAUUUGAAAAGGAGAAAGCUUCCCAGAUAGAUUUACAUAUGUAGAAAGCAUCUAAGAGAAGGCAUAGGGGCCACAAUCUGUAAUCCUACCUUAGCUUUGUAAGGAAGUCUCGGAUUCUGUAAUUGCUGAAAAGCCUUUUUCCCAUUAUAUACCUUUCCUGCCUUACACGGUUCAUCUGACAACUGUUUUUUCUUUUUGUCCAGAGAAUCAUUUGAAGGGGGAAAAGUAGAUAUUUUGUAGGUUAUUAGUUUCUUAAAGAUCCACCCUGGCUACUCAUUAUUAAUAUGGUUCAUUAGCUUAAAAAAUCUGUGGAGUUUGGGCAAUGGCUUUUUAUUCCGAAGAGGAAAAGACCGAGGAUUAUCUGUUCAAGAUUGUUUUAAUUGGUGAUUCAGCCGUUGGAAAAUCCAAUUUGCUUGCAAGAUUUGCUAGAGAUGAGUUCUACCCUAAUUCGAAGUCAACUAUAGGAGUAGAGUUCCAAACCCAAAAGGUGGAUAUCAAUGGUAAAGAAGUCAAAGCACAGAUCUGGGACACAGCUGGUCAAGAGCGGUUCAGGGCUGUCACAUCUGCAUAUUACAGAGGUGCCGUUGGUGCUCUUUUGGUAUAUGAUAUCAGUAGACACCAGACGUUUGAUAGCAUUGGCAGAUGGCUUAACGAACUCCACAGUAAGUUCUUAGACAGUAUUCCUAGAGUUUUUACUUAUAAUUUUCUUUUCAAGUACGUUUUUCUUCUGGGGCUGUUUGUUUGGUCAAGUGGAGACUUUUGUCAACAUUAUACAUUAUUUGGCUUACUUUCUAAGUAAUCUCAAUGAAGAAUUCUCAAUAUUUGGCUUGUUUAGUGGACUAUCUUAAAUGAAGUAAUGGCUUUUAAAUAUUGAUUCAAUAGUCAAUCUGUUCUUCCUAUACCCCUGUGGAUUCAAAAGAUUUCUUGCAUUUGUCCUUAAUUAAUGUGAUGAACUGAGGAUUGAUCAGGUGGAUAUACUGUUUAACAGCUCAUUCUGACAUGAACGUAGUUACGAUACUUGUUGGCAACAAGUCCGAUCUCAAGGAUGCCAGGGAGGUACCCACUUCUGAGGGCAAAGCCUUGGCAGAAGCACAGGGUUUGUUUUUUAUGGAAACGUCUGCUCUUGAUUCGUCCAAUGUCUCUGCCGCUUUUCAGAUGGUUGUGAAAGAGAUCUAUAACAUACUAAGCCGCAAAGUUAUGAUAUCUCAGGAGCUCAAGAAACAGGACCCCAGUUGGGUAGGGAGUGGAAAGACGGUGGUUUUGCAAGACGGGAGCCAAGAAGCAGCAGUUGCAGAGCCUAAAAAAGGUGGGUGCUGUUCAUCUUAGGGAUACACAACACAAGAGGUGUGGACGGAUCAUUUUGGCGGGUCCCAACAACCCUCUUCUUCUUUUUUUGUUUUGUUCCCACUAAUGUUCCUUGCAUUCCUUUUCCAUGUGAUCUAAUUUCUUGAAUUUGUUUAAAUGUUCAUUCAAGAAACAUGUUUUCACUCAGUCGGUUGAAGAUAAGAAAUUGAGGUAGAAGAUGUAAAUGACCUGAAAGGUGGAUUAGAAAAGCUUAUACAAUGUUCAAAAUCCAGUUAUCAAAAUGCACUGUACUUCUUAGCCAGUUUGUGUUUUUUCAUUUAUUGGUUCCUUAUUCUUAAUGCAAGAUAAGAUGGUGUUUCCCUCCAUUUUGCUUUUGUUUCCUUGACCUUAAUGGCUCAUUUGGUGCCUAGAAUUGGAUCAGGUUGGAUAAUUCACUAUAUUCAAGGUACGUUGUUGCCCUUAAAAUGCAAAAUCAUUCGCUACCUUAACAUUCCUUUACUGUAAUGAUGACUAACGAGUUAAUCAAUCCAAUCCUAGUCACCAAUUGACCCCUAAACCUAAAUGUUUGCUUUUUGUUGUGACUUAAUGUUGAUAUAAGAUCAACAAUUGAUCAAGGGGUUUAUUGCUUUUUCAUCUUUUGGUCUAAACAAGUACAUAUUGCAGUCAAAUAAGGUCGUUGACGUUAAUAUGUUUGAGUGUAUUUUAUACAUGAAAAUUUUAGCCGUCAUAUCUUGUCAUUAAAUUAUCUUAACCAAGAAUCUAAAGGCCGAAAACCCUGCAUACUAGCAAAUCCGGUGGUGGUACUUCAAAUCGAUGACAUAAUUGGUAAGGAAUACUAGCACCAUGGUCCGUCCGAAUUGCAGGCAAAAAUGUUACCAGUCGAUGAUAUCAGUUGAAAUGAUGUUUUGGUGGACUAAAAAUAAUUUGGACUGGAGGAAACCAUCCCAUCCCGUGAUCCCAGGCCCCACAGCCGCUACUCUUUACUCAUCGCUCACUUUUUGAAAACUAAUAAUUAAAAAAUAAUUUAUGAGAAAAAAAGGUUCGAUGACAGAAAUGCCCCUAUAGUACGACGUGGUGAUAUUUUAUUGCCUCAGAUCAUACGUACCCUGUAGAUCCAGUUUCCACUUCCGACCCCCACAAACACCAUUUUACUCAUUUUCUCAGACAGAAGCGGAUCAAAUAUAAUCCCUGUGGGUUUUGUUUGUUCAAAUUUCUCGCCUCUCCUCUCUUGAUAAAAUAUAUAAAAAAAAGUUAUAAAAAAAAAAAAAAAUGAAUCUCCGGAAUUGUUAUUCUACGAAGAAAACGGCAACUCCAUCCUCUCAACUCAUGCGAUGCAACAAGGUAAAUACAGUCUCUUAUUCUUCUUAAUUUGCUAAAUGUUUAUGUUGACCUGAGGCUGACUGUGACUGACUGGUAUGGUGGUCUGAUUUGUAUGAAGAUGCCGUCUUUCUUUUUUCCCAGAUAUCAAAUUAGCAUCAAAAUUGCACCUUUUUCUCGUUUCCUUCAUAAAAAUCGCGGCUUUAUGUUUUUCCCCGGAUCUUUCUUUCUUGUACAAAUUACAGUUGCCCCGUUUUCUAUCCAUGAUGUAAAACUGCUUUGUUUUGGUUGAUUUCCUUACUGUUAGCAGCCAUUGUUCAUAUUUGUUGAUAGUGCUUUUUGUAAACCAAGUGAUUUUUUUUUUCUUUUGGAUCAACUUAAAUGACGCUAAUUGUAUAAUCGUAUCAUGAAAUUGAACAGAGAUGAAGUUCGAUUCUCACUUUUUGUGCUAAAGGGAGCAGCAGCCCUUACUAGGAGCCCUUAUAGUUUAUAGGCAAAGGAGACGCUUGCCAAAAAGAAUGAUGAAUAGUAAGGGCGGCGAGUGCAACUUGGUGGACAGAAUUAGCAAGUUGCCAGAAGAAAUUCUCGUUACUAUUGUGUCUCUCUUGCCACUAAAAGAAGCAGGAGCUACCAGUAUUCUUUCCAAGCGAUGGCAAUAUGUGUGGGCGUCUACCGUGACUCUCGAUUUUGAUCCUAAACAUGAGCUGGGUGAACAUUAUUGCCGCCUGCUGCGUGUAGAACCAGAACAAAAAGACCUGCUAAGACAGAGAUAUGUCGAUUGGGUAAACACUGUGGUGGAACAACAUAGAGGCCCUGUUAUCGAACAAUUCCGGGCUUACUUUGAUAUAGAUGGUCAUUUUACAAGUUCCAUUGAUAAGUGGAUUCAGUUUGCAAUGAAUAAGAGAGUUCAAAUACUUGAGCUGGUGUUUUGCAAUGAAUUGAGAUCUAACUAUAAAGAUGUCUAUCCCUUUCCCGUCCAACUUUUAGGUCUCCAAAAUGAUUCUACCUUGAAGCUCAAUCCCACCCAUUCUGACAUUUCAAGUCUACAUUCCUCUAGAUACAAUGUUGGAUUUAAGUUCCUCAGAGUUCUUUAUUUCAAUUAUGUUGACGUGUCUGGAAAAGUUCUUGAAUACUUACUGUCAAAUUGUCCAGUUCUUGAAAGAUUAAAAGUGGACAGUGCUAACAAUAAGUUGGUUAAUUUAAGAGUAGUUGGUUCGUCGAUGGCAUUGAAAUAUUUAGAUAUUCAAUUUUGUUUUGCCCUCAGAAGCAUUGAGAUUCGUGAUGCAAACCUUGUUUCAUUCAUGUAUGUGGGAGGACGUCAUAUAAACUUGCUUCUCAGUAACGUACCUUUACUUGUAGAGGUAUGCGUUAAUGAGCGUAUUAAACCUUUCUUGUUUGAGGGUCGUAUCUACUAUCGAUCCAUACAGCUUCCCUUCACCCAACUGUCAUGCUGUCUUUCUCAGCUAGAGGUCCUCAUGCUACCCAUCGAUGGAGCGGUUAGUAUAUGCAAUUAUAAUUUGCUGGUUUUCUUUUCUUCUGUUUUCGUUAUGUAGUUUACUUAAUUUUUUUCCAUUCUAUGUUUCUGAUAAAUAGAGUCAAAAGUCGCUCUGAAUAAGCAGUAGCUUGUGUUAUACCAUAGAUUGAGCCUCAAUAUUUGAGCCUCAUUACUUAGCCCAUAAAUUACGUAAGAGGGGAGAAAAACCCCAUAGAUUGAGCCUCAAUAUUUGAGGCUCAUUACUUAGCCCAUAAAGUACGUAAGAGGGGAGAAAAACCCAACCCUUAGCAACAAGUAAUAUGGCAAACCCUAACCUCUCUAGCAACAAGUCUCUGUGUACAAAUGCUCCCCCCAUCCUAACCUCAAGGUGGUGGAAGUACUAGGGUAUCGUGCUCAUCCACGUGUUGGUGAACAUGUCAUGCACCUUAUAAAGAACGUUGCUGCACUGGAGAAAAUAAUUAUCGAUCCUGUCCGGCGUUGGGUGUAUCCUAUUGGAUCACAUUCUAACGAAAGGGUUAGGGGAGUUCAAGAGGUCAAAGAGGAAGUGCAAGGAAGAGCUCAUGCUAUGCAGCACCUAAAAGAAAUUGUGCCUUCAACUAUUGAAUUCGUAUGCCUCUAGUAUCAGCAAGUGCAGUGCUGAAAUUAUACAGACAUUGUAUUCGGUUGGAAUUCUCAAAGACUAGCUAGGCUCAGAUUAAUGGUGGUUAAGUGUGGUGUGAGCAAACAAACUUGAACCAAGACUUGGUUUGCCAUUCUUUGCUUAUAUUUAUUAAUCUUUUUCCAUUCUAUGUUUCUGAUAAAUAAAGUCAAAAGUCGCUCUGAAUAAGCAGUAGCUUGUGUUAUACCAUAGAUUGAGCCUCAAUAUUUGAGCCUCAUUACUUAGCCCAUAAAGUACGUAAGAGGGGAGAAAAACCCUUAGCAACAAGUAAUAUGGCAAACCCUAACCUCUCUAGCAACAAGUCUCUGUGUAUAAAUGUAACUCUCAUAUAUUGUUGUAUUCUUGUGUAUGUGUGAUUUACGAUUAGAUUUAAGUUUAUAUUCCAAAAACUAAAAUUAAUUGUAAACAUUCAGAAUAAAAACAAAUGUUGGUCUCAUGGCCCGCCAAAACGGUGGAGGCAGUGAUACCGCAUCACCACAAGGCAACAGGAUAUGACACCACCGUCGACGGAGGAGCUCCCAAGCCGAAGCCGGAAGGACCAUCAACGUCGACGAUAAUCUUUAUGCGACGUUAACUUUUGGAAUGUACAGGCACCGAUUUUGCCUGCUCCUUUCAGUUGGAGACGGAUCAAUGUCCCC
rnacentral:lncRNA from 1 species